GACGAACGCUGGCGGCGUGCUUAACACAUGCAAGUCGAACGGAAAGGCCCUGCUUUUGUGGGGUGCUCGAGUGGCGAACGGGUGAGUAACACGUGAGUAACCUGCCCUUGACUUUGGGAUAACUUCAGGAAACUGGGGCUAAUACCGGAUAGGAGCUCCUGCUGCAUGGUGGGGGUUGGAAAGUUUCGGCGGUUGGGGAUGGACUCGCGGCUUAUCAGCUUGUUGGUGGGGUAGUGGCUUACCAAGGCUUUGACGGGUAGCCGGCCUGAGAGGGUGACCGGCCACAUUGGGACUGAGAUACGGCCCAGACUCCUACGGGAGGCAGAGGUGGGGAAUAUUGCACAAUGGGCGAAGGCCUGAUGCAGCAACGCCGCGUGCGGGAUAACGGCCUUCGGGUGGUAACCGGUUUUCGCCUGUAACGAAGCGUGAGUGACGGUAAUGGGUAAAGAAGCACCGGCUAACUACGU
rnacentral:rRNA from 1 species